rnacentral:rRNA from 1 species
UACGAAGGGGGCGAGCGUUGUUCGGAUUUACUGGGCGUAAAGGGCGCGUAGGCGGCGCAACAAGUCAGGCGUGAAAGCCCCGGGCUCAACCUGGGAGGUGCGCUUGGGACUGUUGUGCUUGAGUUCGGGAGAGGAGAGUGGAAUUCCCAGUGUAGAGGUGAAAUUCGUAGAUAUUGGGAAGAACACCGGUGGCGAAGGCGGCUCUCUGGACCGAGACUGACGCUGAGGCGCGAAAGCGUGGGGAGCAAACAGGG